GUAUARAUUAUKCUGUAGGGUUGGCCAAUGCSWUGUMCGACUAUUGCCGUAAUGGCUCGCMGGCCGGUUUAUUAMGUCUGAUKUGAAAGCYCCCGGCUCAAUCCGGSGAGGUCAUGGUAAACUGGGAACUUGAGUGCAGAAGAGGAGAGUSGAAUUCCACGUGUAGCGGUGAAAUGCGUAGAGAUGUGGAGGMAACACCAGUGGMGAAGGYGACUCUCUGGUCUGUAACUGACGCUGAGGAGCGAAAGCGUGGGGAGCKAACAKGAUUAGAUACCGUGGUAGUCCACGCCGUAAAMGAUGAGUGCUAAGUGUUAGGGKGYUUCCKCCUCUUAGUGMUGCAGSUAACGCAUUAAGCACUCCGCCUGGGGAGUACGGUCGCAAGAYUGAAACUCAAAGGAAUUGACGGGGGCCCGCACAAGCGGUGGAGCAUGUGKUUUAAUUMGAAGCAACGCGAAGAACCUUACCAGGUCUUGACAUCCUMUGACAAUCCUAGAGAUAGGAYGUCCCCUUYGGGGGCAGAGUGACAGGUGGUGCAUGGUUGUYGUCAGCUCGUGUCGUGAGAUGUUGGKYUAAGUCCCGCAACGAGCGCAACCCUUGAUCUUAGUUGCCAGCAUUCAGUUGGGCACUSUAAGGUGACUGCCGGUGACAAACCGGAGGAAGGUGGGGAUGACGUCAAAUCAUCAUGCCCCUUAUGACCUGGGCUACACACGUGCUACAAUGGACAGAACAAAGGGCAGCGAAACCGCGAGGUUAAGCCAAUCCCACAAAUCUGUUCUCAGUUCGGAUCGCAGUCUGCAACUMGACUGSGUGAAGCUGGAAUCGYUAGUAAUCGSGGAUCAGCAUGCCGCGGUGAAUACGUUCCCGGGCCUUGUACACACCGCCYGUCACACCASGAGAGUUUGUAACACCSGAAGUMGGUGAGGUAACCUUUAGGAGCCAGCURCUAGAAGGGGUWACCAKYYCACCUG
rnacentral:rRNA from 1 species